CCUACGGGAGGCAGCAGUGAGGAAUAUUGGUCAAUGGGCGCGAGCCUGAACCAGCCAAGUAGCGUGAAGGAUGACUGCCCUACGGGUUGUAAACUUCUUUUAUAAAGGAAUAAAGUGAGGCACGUGUGCCUGUAUGUAUGUACUUUAUGAGUAAGGACCGGCUAACUCCGUGCCAGCAGCCGCGGUAAUACGGAGGUUCCUAGCGUUAUCCGGAUUUAUUGGGUUUAAAGGGAGCGUAGAUGGGUUGUUAAGUCAGUUGUGAAAGUUUGCGGCUUAACCGUAAAAUUGCAAUUGAUACUGGCAGCCUUGAGUGCAGUUGAGGUAGGCGGAAUUCGUGGUGUAGCGGUGAAAUGCGUAGAUAUCACGAAGAACACCGAUGGCGAAGGCAGCCUACUAAGCUGCCACUGACAUUGAUGCUCGAAAGUGUGGGGAGCAAACAGGAUUAGAUACCCGAGUAGUC
rnacentral:rRNA from 1 species